rnacentral:rRNA from 1 species
GACGAGCGCUGGCGGCGUGCUUAACACAUGCAAGUCGAACGGAAAGGCCCUGCUUUUGUGGGGUGCUCGAGUGGCGAACGGGUGAGUAACACGUGAGUAACCUGCCCUUGACUUUGGGAUAACUUCAGGAAACUGGGGCUAAUACCGGGUAGGAGCUCCUGCUGCAUGGUGGGGGUUGGAAAGUUUCGGCGGUUGGGGAUGGACUCGCGGCUUAUCAGCUUGUUGGUGGGGUAGUGGCUUACCAAGGCUUUGACGGGUAGCCGGCCUGAGAGGGUGACCGGCCACAUUGGGACUGAGAUACGGCCCAGACUCCUACGGGAGGCAGCAGUGGGGAAUAUUGCACAAUGGGCGGAAGCCUGAUGCAGCAACGCCGCGUGCGGGAUGACGGCCUUCGGGUUGUAAACCGCUUUCGCCUGUGACGAAGCGUGAGUGACGGUAAUGGGUAAAGAAGCACCGGCUAACUACGUG